rnacentral:misc_RNA from 1 species
GCGGUGGACGUUCUGGAGGAUCAGCGGGAAGGACCGCUCGCCGAGAUAGCGCUUGCGCGGCUCGCCCACCGUGCAGGACGGCGGAUCAGCCCAGAAGGCUUUGUAGUAGGCGCCCCGGUAGUAAUAGCAGGUGAGGCGAAAGCCGCCCGGUGCCCAGAGGAUGAAGAACGCAG